AUUGAACGCUGGCGGCAGGCCUAACACAUGCAAGUCGAACGAGUGGCGGACGGGUGAACAAUUUCUGGGCAACUGCCCGAUGGAGGGGGAUAACUACUGGAAACGGUAGAUAAUACCGCAUACCAUCGGAUGUGCCCAGAUGGGAUUAGCUAGUCGGGGGGGUAACGGCUGACCUAGGCGACGAUCCCUAGCGGGUCUGAGAGGAUGACCAGCCACACUGGAACUGAGACACGGUCCAGACUCCUACGGGAGGCAGCAGUGGGGAAUAUGGAACAAUGGGCGCAAGCCUGAUGCAGCCAUGCGGCGUGUGUGAAGAAGGCUUUCGGGUUGUAAAGUACUUUCAGCGAGGAGGCGUUACUCACAGAAGAAGCACCGGCUAACUCCGUGCCAGCAGCCGCGGUAAUAC
rnacentral:rRNA from 1 species